AUGGGCCCCCGGCUCCUGGGCUGUGUCCUGCUUUGUCUCCUGGGAGCAGACCCCCUGGAAGCCGAUGUGACCCAGAGCCCGAGACACCAGAUCACAGAGACGAGAAAGAGGGUGACAUUGACUUGUUCUCAGAAUAUGAACCACGAUGUUAUGUACUGGUAUCGACAAGACCCAGGGCUGGGUCUAAAGCUGAUCUACUUUUCAAGGAAUGUUGAGUUUGUUGAAAAGGGAGAUGUCCCUGAUGGCUACAUUGUCUCUCGAAAAACGAAGCCAGAUUUCCCCCUGACCCUGGCAUCGGCCAGCACCAACCAGACCUCUUUGUACCUCUGUGCCAGCAGUGAAGGUGGCUCGGCCUUCCUGGGCGCCGCCCUGCCCUUCGGGGCCGGCAGCCGGCUGACCGUGGUGGACGACCUGAGCAAGGUGACCCCACCCAAGGUGGCUGUGUUCGAACCGUCAGAAGCAGAGAUCUCCCGGACCCAGAAGGCCACGCUCGUGUGCCUGGCCACGGGCUUCUACCCCGACCACGUGGAGCUGAGCUGGUGGGUGAACGGGAAGCAGGUCAAGACAGGGGUCAGCACGGACCCUCAGCCCCACAAGGAGGACCCCAGCCGCAAUGACUCCAGCUACUGUCUGAGCAGCCGGCUGAGGGUCUCCGCCCCCUUCUGGUACAACCCUCGCAACCUCUUCCGCUGCCAAGCCUGGUUCCACGGGGUCCCGGACGAGGACGAGUGGAAGCAGGACGGGCCCAAACCCGUCACCCAGAACAUCAGUGCCGAGGUCUGGGGCCGAGCAGACUGUGGCUUCACCUCAGUGUCGUAUCAGCAAGGGGUCCUGUCUGCCACCAUCCUCUAUGAGAUCCUGCUGGGGAAGGCCACCCUCUAUGCUGUGCUGGUCAGCGCCCUGGUGCUGAUGGCCAUGGUCAAGAGAAAGGAUUCCUGAAGCCAGCUUAGACGUGGAGCCAGGAGCUUCCAGCCUGUUAUUGCCCUGAUGUGAAUUCUGCUUUUUCCAUUCCUACCCAGUGCUUCAGAAGAGGUGCUCUCAUCUCUCUACGCAUCCCAGUAUCUACCCGUGUGCAUGUGCCCCAAACACUCAUGACCAAAAUCUCCCUAGCCCAAGGGGGACCCUGGCGGGCCUGAACUGAU